rnacentral:rRNA from 1 species
UACGAAGGGUGCAAGCGUUACUCGGAAUUACUGGGCGUAAAGCGUGCGUAGGUGGUUUGUUAAGUCUGUUGUGAAAGCCCCGGGCUCAACCUGGGAAUGGCAAUGGAUACUGGCAAGCUAGAGUGCGGUAGAGGGUAGUGGAAUUCCCGGUGUAGCGGUGAAAUGCGUAGAGAUCAAGAGGAAUACCAGAGGCGAAGGCGGCGAACUGGAACAGUUACUGACACUAAACUACGAAAGGCGUGGGGAAGCAAACAAGGGAUUAGAUACCCCUGGACAUA